UUGAGGAAGGAUCGCGAUUUUUCUUCAUUGCUCUUCUCCUCUUUCCCGUCACACUUUCUUCUUCCCAUCACCGUUAGUUUGUCCACCGUUCUCCUCUCCAUUCAUUUUCUUCGGUGACAGUGAGUUGGAUCCUUGGAUUCUCUUCUAUUCGGUUCAUUCUUCCUUUGUUUUCCUCUACCCUGCGUCGCCUAUCUCUCACUGCUGUGGGUCAUGGCUCACUCGCUCGUCUACCGUAUAUCCACGUCGCCGGCAUUUACUGCAGCUCCGUCGGCUGCUGUCCGUCAGACUCGUGGCUUUUGUCUCUUCUGCUCCUCUGUUCCAGAUCGAACUCACUAGAGACAUAGGGAAGCUCAGAAUCAAACCCUCUACCAUCUCUAUUUCCUCGUCCUUCCUUCUCCAAUGUCCUCCCCGUGUCACCGGCGAUCGUGGAUGCUCAGCACUGCCUUGCAAAAAUGCCCAGGUUCUCCAUGAUUCUUCUUAUCUCUGUUUUGUUUUUCUUGCUAUAUCUGCGUCGUCGGUGUGCGUAAAGGGUUGAGUUGCUGGAAGCUGUGGACGGUUGGAAACGUCCUUCUUGUUCGUUUUCUGUCAGUGUGUCUCUAUAGGUGCUGCCAUUAGCGAGUGAGUUAUUUCCUCCUCUGUUUCGUCGAUUUCCUUCUCUUCCCCUUCCUUGAUUCUUUUUCAGCGACACACACACAGAGAGAGAGAGAGAGAGAGAGAGAGAGAGAGUGAGAGAGUGUGUGUGUGUGUGUGUGUGUGUGUGUGUGUGUGUGCUUGGCCUUUUUCCUUCCUCUUUUGUCCUAGUGUUCAUACGGAUGUGUGAUCGGCUUUCAUUUUUCCAUGGUUAUAUAACUAGCUACUGCCUCUUGCUUCUGCUGCCACUGAUUGAAGGUUGUUUAGAAGAAGGAAGAUUUGACUUUAAAGUGUGAAUUUGCACUUGGGAACACUACAGGUAAGUGGAUAACGUCCCAACUGAUAUUUCAAUAAAAUUUUUCACUGAAAUAUUACAUAUUUAUACAAAUCCUUUUUACAGCAAUAAUGUGAUUAUUGGAUAUUUUGUUGAUUAAAGUAUUUUAUUUUUGUGAAUUUAUCUUUACCAGAUUUGAUAAUUUUAUUUUAUGAGUAAAUACAAGUUUGGAUUUUAAUUAUGAGAUUUUCAUUCUUGAAAUUAUUGAAUUGCUAUGAAAAACAAUUCAUCAUAGCAUUGGCAAUUGUUGAUUAUUCAAUAAAUGCAAGCAUGAGCAUUGAAUAUGAAAUUUUAUUAUGACAAGUUUCAGUGCUUAAAAUGUAUUCAUGCGAAUUUAAUUUUGAGAAUGAGAACGGUAUCUUAAAAGUGAUGAUUUUCUCACAUGUUUGAAAAUGGUUUUAAAAAGGGACUUUAUAUAGAACACUGGUUGCUAAUGGCAGUUCCGUUAACCCUUGGCGCGCCAUGGUACACCUAGCUAGCAGGGUGUUUAUAGGAGGUGCUAGCCCCAUGCGAUGGCCAACGCACGUGGAACGGAGGGAUGGUUAUUCGUGAGCAUAGUACUCAUGUUUGUUUCGUGGCUUCGGCUGCGUUUGGUUACUUACCCUCGUGGAUUGUGUGUCCACGUUUGUUUCGUGGCUCCGAUUGCAUUUGGUUACUUACCCUCGUGGAUUGUGUGUCUGCGUUUGUAUUCGUGGCAUAAGCCGUGUUCCGUUAUUUACCUUCGUAGACUGUGUGUCCAUGUUUGUUUAUCGUUCUAAUAAGUCCUUAAAAAAAUUUGUGAAUUUGACUAUUUGAUGAUUUUAUAUUUCAUUGGUUUUUAUCUAGUAAAUUAUUUACAACCAUUUAUUUCAUUUAUAUGCUUUUUAGAAAUCAAGUGAUAAAAACAUUUGUUAUGAUAUUUUAAUGGUUUAAGAUUUUAUAAAAAAAAAUUUAUGGAGUCACUUUAUUUUGAAGUUUAUUAAAUUUUUAUAAAAAUUGUUGUCUAUUUGACUUAAUUAUUUCAAACUUUCAUUUUUAAUCAUGUUUAAUUAUUUAUUGUUGGGACGUUAUUCACUGAAAAAUAUUUUAUUUGGUCUCAAAUACCAAAGCUAAUUUCGCACUCCUUGCUGAUCUCUAAUGGGCUCAGUGUUGAAUUGAUUAGAAGAUUAUUUUUGAAAAUAUCAUCUUAUUCAUAUAAAAAUUUGGAAACCUAUAUAGUAUCUUUUGGAAGUCCGAUUUAGAGAGCUCCACAUUAACUAUAAUUAGGGUCCUGCCUCUUUUUGUUAUGUUAAUUAUUUGCCGCUGAGAAGCAAAGUUUUAUAUUAUUGGAUAUAUGUUGUAAAUUUUCUGUUGAAGAUAUCUUCGAUGGAUUCUACCUUUAGGGGAGAUGUUGUAGAAAUUUUAUAGAAAGUUUGAUGUUUUGAUUUAUGUGAAGAGUAAAAUUUGAUAUAUUAAUUUAAAACUUUUCUUAAUUGAAGCUUUAGGGAUGUGAAUUUGUAUAUUUCAUGUCAGUUAUGUUAAAAUUUUUGGACGUGACAACUUUAACCCCCCUUGGGAAACAAAGUGUCCCAGAUAUUUGACCUUCUUCUGUCUGAAAGAGCAUUUCAUGAGUUUCGCAUGCAACCGCAGUUGUUGAAGGGUCUGCAAGACUAGCUCUAGAUGUUACAAGUGUUGCUCCCAAGAGGAACUAUAUACAAGAAUAUCAUUAAAGAAAAUCAACACAAAUUUGUGCAAAUAGGGUUGAAAAACAAAAUUCAUAAGUGCCUGAAAGGUAGCGGGGGCGUUCGUGAGGCCACACGGCAUCACUGUCCACUCAUACAACCCUUGGUGUGUGCAGAAUGCAGUCUUAGCUCGAUCAUCUGGUUCCAUUAAUAUUUGGUAGUAGCCUGCCCUAAGGUCUAGCUUGGAAUACAAAAAAAAGCCAUGCAGCUCAUCCAAAAGAUCAUCUACAGUCGGCAUAGGAAAGGCAUCUUUAAUGGUCACAGCAUUAAGGGCUCUGUAAUCAACACAAAAGCGCUAAGACCCGUCCUUCUCCUUCACCAAGAUAACAGGCGCAGAAAAAGGGCUACUAUUGGGUUGUAUGUAUCCCUCCUCCAAAAGUUUACACACCAACUUCUUUAUCUCUGCCUUUUGGUUGAAGGGGUAUUGGUAUGGUUUGACCUUGACUGGUCCUUCUCCCUUCUGUAGAUUAAUCCUGUGAACAUAGUCUUAAGGAGGUGGUAGUCCCGGCUUCAUGAACACCUCACAGUGUCAUCGUAAAACAGCAAUGAGAUCCUUAGGUAACUCUGUUGGUAGCUGUAAUGGUACCUCUUCGUCUAGUAUACCCUGUUUCACCUAUCCUUGGGGCACAAACAACUCAGUAAUGGCAUCAGUGUUAUAAAUCCAAAUUAACUGGUGUAAGUGAGCUUGGGCUAUAGGAGCUUAUUUGAAACCAUUGAGGGUAAUAAAGUUGCCAUUCUGUAGGAACCGAAUCGUUGAAGCAUUGUAGUCCGCAACAUGUGGUCUUAGUGUCUCCAACCAAGAAGCUCUAAUCACGGCAUCAGCUCCAGUGACCGGUAAAAUAAAUGCUGGGAAUGCAAUAAUGUGACCACUAAUCUAUACAGGUAACUUUGCUAUGGCUAAAUCACACUUUAUCAAUUAACUCGUUCCCACCAAAUACCUGAAACGGUCGUAUCGACUCCUGAGGAAGUUGUAAGUGCUGAACAAUUCGAGGAUGAACAUAAUUAUCAAAGCUUCCUCCAUCUAACAGCACUUGCAUGUCAGUUCCAUAAAUCGACCUGUUACACUGAAUUGUGGCUAUGCCUGAAGAGCCUCGGAAUGCACAGAGAGAUAGGUGAUGCAAUGUACUAAUCUCCUCAACUGAACCUUCAGUCACUUCUUGUUCAUCUUCGGUACCGUGGUCUGCAGUCAACAUCAUUAAUUGUUUCUUCCCACAAUAAUGAGAUGGAGAAAAUUUCUCAUCGCAGAACUAGCAAAGACCUUUCUCUCUUCAAAUUUGCAUUUCAGCAGGCAUAUUUGCUAAUGGUUUCCCACCUCCCAUUGGUGAUGGUGAGAAGGUAGUCUGCAGAUGUGAUGAAGUGGUCCCCAGUGCGUCACGUCUAGAAUAUAUUCAUCCUAACACCACCGCCUUCAGUAACGUGGUUGGUGCUUGAGCAACGACAUCACGACAUAAAUCUGAUUUCAACCCACCUAUGAAGCAAUCAAUCAAUGCACCUUCUAUCAUGUAGUCGGAACAGAUAGUCUUCAAAUGAAUCAUUCUGUACGAGCUUGAAUAAUUGCACUCGUGCACACUCAUAACGAGUCGAGCCAAAAUGCUCUUCAAUUGCUCUAGUGAAUGAAUUCUAAUCCACAAACUGAUUCAAUUUUAGCAUCAUCUGAAACCAUAGGACUAUUGGUCCCAACAUAUGUAUUCCGGCCAUGACUAACUUCUGUGCAUCGGUCGUCUCGUAAAACUUAAAAUAUUGUUCAUCUCUGAAUAGCCAAUCUAAUGGCUCUAUUCCAUCAAACCUAGGAAAAUCUACCUUCACUUGCUUGGUAGGGAUAACUUGAUAUACUUGUUGUUGUUGUUCAACUGAGUUUUGACCUGUGGGUGAACCUAAAUCGAGCCCAAAAUUUAAGGAUUCUGAUCGGCGAUUAAGGCUCUCCAUGGACUUCAUUAAAGAUUCCAGCAAUCCUUCGAUUUUAGAAAAUCAG